rnacentral:rRNA from 1 species
GACGAGGGAUCCUAGCGUUGCUCGGAAUCAUUGGGCGUAAAGAGGGCGUAGGUGGCUAAAUAAGUCAGGUGUGAAAGCCCAGGGCUCAACCCUGGAAGUGCAUUUGAUACUGUAUAGCUUGAGUGUUGGAGAGGUUAUCGGAAUACCUGGUGUAGUGGUGAAAUACGUAGAUAUCAGGUGGAACACCGGAGGCGAAGGCGGGUAACUGGCCAAACACUGACACUGAGGCCCGAAAGCAUGGGGAUCAAACAGG